CGUGAUAUAAGCAGCCAUUUGCAGGGAAACAGUGCGCAAAUAUGGUUCGUUCGUGUGCUGCUUUUAAUUGUAACAGUAAGAACGGAAGCAAAGACGAAGACGGAAACAGUAUUACAUUUCACAGGUUUCCUCUUACAAAUGAUUUUAUAAAUCGGAAAUGAAUAGCUCCUACUCGGAGAGAGAACUUCCAACCGACAGCAAAUCAUUUGCUGUGCUCCCUUCAUUUUGAAGAGAAUUGUUACAUGGAAAAUUAUGUAAAUAGACGUCAACUGAAGGUCGAUGCUAUACCGACAGUAUUUGGAUUUGCAACUCAUUUGAAAAAGGUUACCAAGGCAAGGAAACAGCCAAAGCCAAUAAAUGUUGAGACAGCAGAAAACGUGUGUGUGGAUGUGCACGUUUCUGGUUACACUGGAGACCAUAAAUUAUUCAUUUCCAUCAAGUCCAAGUAAGCUGAAGGAAAAGUUCGAAAAAAUUGAAGAAAGGAAAAAUUGGGCAAUAUAAGACUAAGUUAAAAACAGUGAACAAAAAGUGCAAAAGACAAACGCAGAAUAUUUGCAAAUUAGCAAAUAUUUUAGAAGAACUAAAAGCUAAAAACUUAGUAAACGAUAAAGUAAUCUCGCGUAUUAACGCUACUCACAGUGACAUGUUAUUGGAGAUGGUCAUUACAAUGUUGUAAAUGUCAGUGUGUUAGCUGUUACUUGUGAUGGACUUUCCACUAAUAUUGCAAUGGCAAAGGAGUUAGGGGCAAAUAUAAUCGUACUGCCUACUACUUUAAAAGUUUCAUGUAAUUAUCUAAUGCAAGUAACUCGAUGUAAACUCGCUCCACCUUGUCUGGAAAGAGCCUUACAUUCUUAAAUUUCGCAUCUCUAUGCAUACGUAUUUCGGAAAUUAAGAAACCUGAUUUAAGUAUACUUUUAAAAUAGACUCGAAUACUCAGUAUUUUUUUAAACAAACAUGUAUUUAAUUUGUGCUUGAAUUUACUCUUGUUGCGUCUCAUAUACUUCAAAUAACAACCCCAGUACUAGGAUACAUCCCUGCAAAUGGCGGCGAUCAGCUGCUUCAAUUGGGGGACAGUUGCCUCGCUUCUCCGCUACGGCGUGGUAGGGGCUCGCAUAUGACUCGCAUUACAAGCAGCGUGCUGUUAUUGAAUUCUUGUGAACAUCUAUGACCAUUUGUGCGCAGUGUAUUUGGCAAGAGUACAGGUGGGCGACAGGUAAAGAAAGUUACAGCCUCAGAAAAUAUAGAAUUAGAGCACCAUGAUCAGCCACAUUUGGGACGCCCUGUCACAGCCACUGCUCCAGACAUGCUGAAUCGUACGGGUGCCAUCAUUCGUGCCGACAGGAAUAUCACAACUCGACAACUGGGUCUACGGUUGUCGGUCAGCAUUGGGAAUGCGUCUGCAAUGAUCAAGACUCUCGGAUAUCCAAAGAGGUGCUGACGAUGGGUUCCACGAAUGCUCACAGCGGACCUCAAAAUUCAAAGAAAGACGAUUUCAUCUGAAUUGUUAGAGCGUUUCGAGACCGACAGAGAGGGCUUUCUGUCAUGGAUCGUGCCUGUCAUGCAGUGAAAACAUGGACAAGAGCUUUUACCAGCAGGAAUACAUGCUCUUCCACAGCGCUGGCGUACGGCCAUAGAACGUGAUAAGAGACUACGUAGAAAUAUAGGGCAUGGACAAGACAUGUUGAUAUAUAUUGACAUCAAAUUCUGACUCUUAACUAUAAAUAUGUUUUGAGAAAAAAAAUGUGGGGCGUUACUUAUUGAACGAUCCUUGUACUUGGACUGUAGGCGCGAUCGCGUUGCCAAGGUCUUGGCGAGCUUCUAGUAUAAAAGCAGUCAGUACGAUGGUGUCGUUCUUACAGUGAUAGUACAUUUGAAGUUGGCGUGACUUUUACAUUAAGUGCAGCAUUGUGCAAGUACAGUUUCAUCAAUUAAUACCAUCCUGGAUUCGAAUAAAUCUCACUUCAAAAGACGUCUUGUAGAGUUUUAUCUGUCAUUCCGAUAGAUGGUUGAAUUGCAGUGACUUGUGUAAUACAAGGAGCAACAGAAUGACAAGUAGUUGUGUACACGGAACCGCGACAUCCAGGGUAGGCGAUUUGUGCACUAGACUCUUUCUUAAAGCAGUGUUUGUGAACGAGCAGUGAACAUUACAUUACACCGUACUACAGGC